AUAAAAAUUAUAACUUUUUAGAUCUAGACUGUGUAAUAGAUACAGAAAAAACAAUACAAUUAUGGAUAGGAUAUAUGACAAAACAAUUAUUAGAUAAUAAUAUAAAUAUAACAGAUGCACCGGAAUAUAUAGAAAAAACAUUAAUAGGAUCAGUAAAACUAUGGUUUGCAAAUCUAACCGAAAAUAGCAAAAAAGUAUUAAGAACUAAUAAACCUAUAGAAGGAACAUCAUCAACAACAACUAAACUAACACCUAUAGAAUUAUUAAAAAAAUAUGAAACAGCUAUAAAACAUGAAUUUGGUAGUACGACAACAAUAGAAGAAGAACAAGAUGAAGAAAAAGAUACAAAUAGAAAUUUAAUGUUAAAAUUAGCAAUAUGUAAUAUGUGUUAUAUAGAUGAAUAUACUUGCGCAUUUAAAGAAUAUUAUUACAAAGGAGCAUAUAGUAUAGAAGAAAGUAAAGAAAUAAGAAAAUUAUAUUUUAAUAAAUUACCCGAGCCAUUUAGUUCAAAAAUAAUAAAAAGUUGGGAAGAAGCAAAAAUAGUAGAUACGUUAGGAGCAAGAAUAAAAUAUUUACAACAAUGGUAUAGAAACUUAUGUGAAAAAUAUAGAGAAGAAUUAAAAAUGGAAAAAACAUUAAUAAGAAAUUUAGCUUGUUGCAAAAAUAAAAUAGCACCCCAAUUUGGAUGCGAAGAAAGAUAUUAUAAGAAAAGAAAAAGACAUAAGAAAUAUAAGAAAUAUAAAAAAUCAAAAUAUAAAUAUAAAAAACCAAGAAAAAGAUACUAUGUAAAAAAUUAUAAACAUAAAAGACCAUAUAGAAAAAAGAAAUCUAUAAAAGAAUGUACUUGUUAUAAUUGUGGAAAGUUAGGACAUUUAGCUAGAGAUUGUAAAUUACCUAAAAAUCCAAAAAAUAAACAAAUAUCAGAAAUAAAAAUAGAAAAUACCGAAUACAUGCAGAUAGAUUAUAUAGAUUAUGAAUUAGAAAGUGAAGAUAGUAUAUAUGAAAUUUCAGAAAACGAAACAGAUAAUGAAAUAGAUAGCGAAAUAGAUGAAUCAAAUGACUGAAGAAGAUAUAAAAAUAAUAACAAAGGAAGAAUAUUUAAAUGAUGAAGGAACGGAACAAAAAAUAAUAUUUGACAGUAAUAUAUUUGAUGAAAUAAAAGGAAAAGAAUUAGAUUUAAGUGUAGACAAAAUAUUUAAAAUACCAACAAUAAAAAAUAUUUUUACUAGGAAAAAAGAUGAAUAUUAUGUAGUAUGCCAAAAAGAACAUGUAAUAGAUUGCAGAUAUGCAAAAGGAAAAGCUAGUAUACCACUAGUAACAAAAAGAAUAAUUAAUAAAGAAAUAAAUGAUAUAAAAAGUAAAGGAGAUCCAAUAAAAUAUGUACACCUUGGAGGUACAGAGAUAUUAAUAAAAGCAUGUUUUAGAGAAGGAAUAGAUACACCAAUAGAAUUAUAUUUAGCAGACGAU
rnacentral:lncRNA from 1 species